UACAGAGGGGGCGAGCGUUGUUCGGAAUUACUGGGCGUAAAGGGCGCGUAGGCGGCCCGCUAAGUCGAACGUGAAAUCCCCAGGCUCAACCUGGGAACUGCGUCCGAUACUGGCAGGCUUGAAUCCGGGAGAGGGAUGUGGAAUUCCAGGUGUAGCGGUGAAAUGCGUAGAUAUCUGGAGGAACAUCAGUGGCGAAAGCGACUUCCUGGACCAGUACCGACGUUCAGGCACGAAAGCGUGGGGAGCAAACAGG
rnacentral:rRNA from 1 species